CUCCACGAAAGGGCUCCAAAAACCCCAAUCUCAAUCCUCUUCAUCUCCACCUCUUUUGACUGGCCACACUUCUCAUCGACAACUCGUCCUAGCUUCCCCCAAAUGCCUCUUUUCAUUUUUAUCACAUUUUGUUUUUACGUUCACGCCCCCCACCCUCCAUUCGUGCAUCUUGAGUUUUGGGAGAUCGGCUUGCGGAAGACGCACUGCUUGAACGGUGUCUAAUUGGCAAGUGCUUGAACGAGCUCGCAGUCGCUUUCACUUCUUGAGGUACUAUUCUAACUUUUCUCCCAAUUUUUCGCUUUCUUUUUUGGUUCCAUCGCCAGAAGUUCACUACUGAUCUCCUCUUUCCUCACCGACGACUCUCAGGUUUGUAUUUCCUUGCCGAUGAUCCAAAUUCAUCUUUGAUCUCAAUUGAUUGCACAUUUCUUUUCUUCUUAUCCAACUGACGAUUCGCUAAUUGACUAAAUUUGUGGAUUAUUGCCUUGUUCGAUUACUUUUUGGAGAUAUCUUGACGUAGAGGAGAUUGUGGCCGCGACUACUAUUCCGAUAACUUAUUGGUUGAGAACCCGUCAUACCACCCGCUUCCGGUGAUAGAGAUGCCAUCUCUUGUCUUGGAUUAUUUGAUCCAGCCACCGCCUCAAUCCCAUUUCUGAUGAUAGGAGGGAUGAUCCUUUGGGUCUCCUAUCAAAUUAAUGGACCUACGAGAGGGUUGGUUUAUGAAGUUACUGUUGAUUAUUCGUAACUAUGUUUCCUACGCAAUGGUUCAUCAUGAAGUGCUAAGAAUUCAAGAAAACAAAGUGGAGUCGUUGACUUGGGAGGAUUGGGAAGUUUUUAAAGGAUUACCAGUUUCAACUUGAAGUGGCUAGUAAUGAAUGAAAGUUUCAUCGAUACUUUUUGUGCAAAGAAAGUUGAUUUGACUCUCAAGUGGGCCAUCAAAACAUGUUCUUGCUUAUGCUGACUAGUUAAGAGAAGAUCCCUGAUUUUUGGAUAUCCUAGUUCAAGUUUCUCCAACAAUAGAUGGCCAUGCAUUUUGAAAAUUGAUGUUGGGUUAUAAGCCCUCACUUGUACAAGUAAGCAAAAUAACUUUCUUCAUGGUUGAGCCAUUUGGAAAUUAUCAAGAUCAAAGCUUCUUGUUGGUGCUCAUUUCAAAAUCAUUUUUACGACCCUUUUUAAGUUAUUUGUAGCAAUUUGAGGUCUUUAUUGUAGCUUCUUGGACUAUUUUCCCAUAUUUCUGUUCUUUUCUUCUGCUUUGUUCCUUUGUUAGGUUCUGUUUUCAUUGUUUCUUUUUUCUUUUUAUCUCUUCUUUCUUCAGAUAAAACAUGAAAAGUUGAUACAGUACGCACUUGCCUUCGUAGUUUUUGCUUGAUAAUUGAGAAACAACUUCAAUUGCUGUAGAAGUUAGGUUAUAAGAUUCAUUUCUCUUCUACUUUCAUUGGAGAAGCCUUUUGUUUCUUUUUCUAUCUUCUAGCUCUACCCAUACUUUAGUACUCCAAGUAGUAAUUUUUAAUUUAUGCUCCAGGUUGAACUCAACCAAGUGAUGAGUAUAUUUAUAAUUUAUUUUGUAGGUUGAACUCAACCAAACGUGCCAUUUGUAGUUUCCAAGGUUGCGAGUCGUUUUUUUAAGUAAGAUUAAUUGUUAUGACUGAAAAUUUGGUUUCGAGCUAGUUCUUCCUGCUCCACUGUUGCCAAAUGUGGGGAUGAUGAAGAGAAUCAAGUGGUUCCAAUGUCGCCACCACCUCCAGUUUCGAGCUAGUUCUUCCUGCUCUCCAUUGUUUCUUCUUCUUUGAAUGAUUUUAACUAGAUCUUAAGAAAUCUGAGGUUUUGCCCGAUUCCAUUGGAGCAGCGAAACCAUAUUUGUGGCAAUUCAUUGAUGUAUAGGCAUUUUUGUAGGUUUGGUAGGAAAAUUUCCGGUUUAAAUGUACUUAUUUAAAUAGCUAGCUUGUUCGUAACAAACCAUAUAUGUAUCAACACUUAAAGCGAUAUUAUAAAGUGUAUGUUUCUUUA